rnacentral:misc_RNA from 1 species
CAUAAUUUUGAAUCUUCAGUCAUGCGUUGGAAUAUUCUGUGAAGAGGAAGCUUGAUAUCUUUUUUACGUCGUACGCAUAUCUCAAUUACGAACAACGAAAGCUCUUACGUUUUAGCUUUAUUGGAAGAUAAAAUCAACCAUGCAGUUUCAAUGGAAAUCAUUACCGACAUUUGUGCUACUGCUUUGGACAAGCACAAAAUUCUGCUGGAUGCAAAGGACUGAUGUAACAUACCAGGAUAUCAGAAGUGUGGAUGCAACAUGCAAUGGUUUGGAUUCUUGUAGAGUUCCCAGAUCGAAUGAAGCCUGGAAAUACAACUGCAACUGUGAAAAGACUUGCAGUCUUUAUGGCACGUGCUGCGUAGAUUCAAAAUACAGACGAAAAUUCAAACGAAAAAAUCAGAAAAACCUUGAAUGCAGAGUGAUAAACCAUAAUCGCAAAUUUCUGUACCCCUGGAUUAGGAGUUGCAAUCCUGAUUUGCGGCAUUCCAAAACCAUGGAAGAACUUUGCACCAACAAAUUUUUAAUAGAAACUAAUGCCGAUCCUUUCUUGGCUAUACCUGUCACUGAUCCUCUGACAGGUAUCACUUAUCAGAACUACUACUGCUUCGCUUGCAAUGAAAACUCAGGCGAAGAGCGACUUAUACCAUGGGACGUUGCCGUAGGAGGUGAUUUAGAAAAAGUUAACAAAUCAGAUUCAAUACCGAUCCUGCGUAAUUACGAGAAAGAUUUCUGGUCAUGGGUCUUGGAUAAUGACAAUAACACCCAUCUCAGUUUGUGGCCUUCAAUACCGGAAGGAUUAGAAGACACUUUGCCGUAUUGUUACGGUUUUGAAAUAGUUUCAGAAUGUGCGUCGAGUUAUACAAAUGCAAAUGUAAGAAAGAAGUGCGGGGCGUACAUGGCUCUGACUAGAAUUCGAAUAGAUAACAGUUACUCGUAUUACCGAAAUCCACAUUGCGCCAUUUGCAACUAUGAGAAUAUGGAUGACAUGGUUUGCGUGUUGGACGGUGAAGAUCCUGUUAGUGCACCAGGCGGAUUAAUACCCUCUGGGGACUUCUUUGUUAGGCUUUUCAGUUUUGAAACAGAUAAAUGCACAGACAAAAUGGUUUAUGAUUCAUUCGCGAAGAAAUGCCGAAACAUAUACAGAGCAAGAAGACAGUGAUUGAAGAAAACAAUUCACGUUCUAUGAUAAGAAAAUAAUUCUUGCAAGAAGACAGUGAUUGUAGAAAACAAUUCACGUUCUAUGAUAAGAAAAUAAUUCUUUUGAGACCCAUUGUAUUUAGGUGAGAGGGAAAUUUAGAAGUUUAGUAGUUAUUUGUAUCUUAAAAUAAAAAUAUUUAUCAUUAUAAUUUUUAAAA